rnacentral:misc_RNA from 1 species
CCUACUGCAUUGCACAACCCGCAGCCAAACCCUGAUUUCCAGGGCGCUGUCCACAGACUAGAUGAUGACGGGUUCCAGUUCUCUGGGGCUCAAGAUAUAGUCGGGCCUGCUUUCGAGCGGGAGCAUACUUUCGCAAGAGCAUUCACCGUUCCGUAGGUGAACCUGCGGAAGGAUCAUUGACACACAUCCAUGUGAUGACUCUGUCAUCAUGCUAACCCGUGAACCCACUCUUGUACUUUUGAGGGGCCACAUCGGAAGGUGUGGCUAGCUCGGCCUGGCAGCUUUCCCCUUGCAUUGUGAGGGGUGCCAGUGACGAGUUUGCUUUGACGGGCAAUGUCUCCUCCCCUCUCCCAAGGCUGCUACUUGUAGCAGCCCACGGAGAGGGACCGGGGGCCGUCAAAUCUCCUCCCCUUGGGUCUCGAGUCUGCUCUAGGGCAGGCUCGGGACUGGAGGGCUACCUCGAACCACAUUAUGCAACCCUUUUCAAACCACAAUCUCUGAGCGAGAUGAAAACCGUGGCCUUCGUGGCCCGAGCUUUCUACCUAACUUGAACAACUCUCAACAACGGAUAUCUUGGCUCUCGCAACGAUGAAGAACGCAGCGAAAUGCGAUACGUAGUGUGAAUUGCAGAAUUCCGUGAAUCAUCGAAUGUUUGAACGCAAAUUGCGCCCGAGGCUUCGGUCGAGGGCAUGUCUGCUUGAGCGCCGCUGGACCCCGUCGCCCCUUCACUCUGUGAGGGCGGAAUGUGGCCGCCUCGAUAUGUAGUGCUGUCUGUCAAGAGGCUCCCGAGCUCUCUUGUCAAACACACUUUCGAGCCGGCUGGAAAACAGGAGUGCGCGUGGGUAUUCCCCGGCGUGGACGACGCUUCCGUGUCGGACUGCCAAAGCUGGAGAAUGCCUAUCGCGCCUCUGUUGCAGUCGUGCACUGGAAAGGCUACGGCCAAUCCUUUAUCCCCUUGGCCUCAAGUCAGGCAGGAGCACCCGCUGAAUUUAAGCAUAUUACUAAGCGGAGGAAAAGAAA